rfam:Salmo salar isolate Sally breed double haploid chromosome ssa01, whole genome shotgun sequence.
GUGGCUCAGUUGGUAGAGCAUGGUGUUUGCAACGCCAGGGUUGUGGGUUCGAUUCCCACC